GGGAGCAGGGAUGUGGGGUUGCCAAAUCUUCCAAAAUUUUAAGAAGCCAGAAAUCUUGAUUUCUAUGUACAAUCUCCUGGUUUUUAAAUGUGGGCAAAUAAAUCAAAAUUCCCUAAAACACUGUUUGGGGCAACAAUGUGUGGGCCAAAGUAAAUACUUUUGUGGGCUACAAGUGUCCCCUAGGCUGUACAUCUGGGACAUCUGAUUUAUGUGGAAAUUUACCGAGAACUAGUUUUAUUUCUGUGGCAGGUCAUUUUCACUUUCUAGGAUUAUGUU
rnacentral:lncRNA from 1 species